UAAAACAUAUCAUGCUAUGUAUAUUAUAUCGUUUGGCCCAUGCCAACCAAGUAUCCAGUUAGUGUGGUGUCAUAAUAACACAUGGUAUAUAUAUCGGUGUCAAUCAAGUGCCAACAAAAAUGAACAAACAACGAAGAGAGAAUCGGAGAUGGAUUGGGGGCUUGAGCCCAUUGACCAGGUGUUGGAGUUUGUUGAUCCAGUAUGGAGCCGUCAGCAAGAUCUCUCACGGUGUCAUCAAAGGAUGGGAUUAGGUGGAGGGUAAGGUUGAGGGAUCAAGGGAGGGA
rnacentral:lncRNA from 1 species